GAGGCCGGGAAAACCUGUGACUUUUGUAGAGAUCAAACCAGAUACCACAGAAAAGAAGGAAUUGAACCAGAUCCUUGUAUUUGGGUUGCCUGGAAAUCCCGUGAGCUCUUUAGUUUGUUUCCAACUAUUUGUAGUCCCUGCCAUUCGCCAACUUGGUGGAUGGGCAAACCCUCAUCUUUUAAGAGUGCAGGUACGUCUUCCAGAGCCAAUAAAGUCAGAUCCUAUUCGACCACUGUUUCAUUGUGCA
rnacentral:misc_RNA from 1 species